GCCUGUUUAUUAAAAACAUGGCUUGUUGAUAAUAAUUUCAAGUCUGGCCUGCCCAAUGAGUGAUUUAAUGGCCGCGGUAUAUUGACCGUGCAAAGGUAGCAUAAUCAUUAGUUUUUUAAUUGAAAGCUAGAAUGAAGGGUUUGAUGAAAAAAUUUCUGUCUCUAGAAAAAUUUAUUAGAAUUUUAUUUUUAAGUGAAAAAGCUUAAAUUCUUGUAGAAGACGAGAAGACCCUAUAGAGUUUAAUAUUUUAUUUAUAUAAUGCUAUUUUAGGGAAUAAAAAUUAAUUUUUAGCUUAAGUAUUUCAUUGGGGUGAUAAAAAAAUUUAUAAAACUUUUUUUGAUAAAAAACAUUGGUUUGUGAAUAAGUGAUCCUAUUUUUUAGAUUAAAAGAUUUAAUUACCUUAGGGAUAACAGCGUAAUUUUUCUUAGAGUUCUUAUCAAAAGAAGGGAUUGCGACCUCGAUGUUGGAUUAAAAUAAAUUGUUGGUGUAGAAGCUAAUGGAUUAAGUCUGUUCGACUUUUAAAAUUUUACAUGAUCUGAGUUUAAACCGGUGUGAGCCAGGUCGGU
rnacentral:rRNA from 1 species